CGCCUCCGUCACUUCCGGGGAAGGGGGUGUAGAGCGAAGCGGCGGCGCGCUGCCUCGGGGCUCCCACGGGGGUGAGGCCGCGGAUUGGGGUUCCCCCCCGGUUACGGGGCCGCGGCCUCGCAGGCCGUGAAAACCUGCCCCGGGAAGGCAGAUUUGAAGCCCCCUGGAAAAAACACGUUUUACGCGUGCCCGGGAGAGGCCUGCCGCUGCGGCUGGGGCGCGGGAGCCGCCUGCCCGCGGAAGGCGCCUCGGCAGGGCUGGGCUUUCACCCCAAGCCCGAGUGAAGCCACCUGAACCCCCGAACAGCAGUAUUGCGGGGUGUCGGAGUGUCCCCUCGCGCGGCGGCGGUGGGGCUCAGCAGGGCCCUCUGCAGAGCUCUGCCUGGCUUGGCUGUGAGACCUCCCGCGCCGGGUGUCUGACAGCAGCAGCAGAGAGACAGUGUACUAGAGAAGACGGACCAUAGCUAUGACCAGGAUGGCCAUUCUUAGCAUUCUACAUGCAUGAAAUUCCGACUCGACCUUAUAGCAGACUGAGUGCUAGGAAGAGAAGUUGUGCCAGAGAAGAAGGAAGUCCCCUGCACAUUCAUGCAAGUAAACAGAGGAUUUCUGUCAAAAUUCUUCACUCUUUUUCCAAAGGUAAUGCCUCCAACCAAAAGAAGAUUGGAGUUUUCAUACCUUGUUUCCUGCUCCUCCAACUCUGAUGACACUGUCUGGGUUCAAGGCGCUAAUGCAGUCAUUUACCAGGGUACUGCUGUGAGAACGCGUGGUAACAAUGAUGUGUUUCCCAGCAGGUGCUUCUGUGAGUUCAAAUCCGAAGGCACCUAUGCCCAGCACUCCCCAGAUUGUCCUACCCAGUACAGCAUCAGCUCCUGCCUAUGUAGAAGGAAUAUAGGCAGUGAUCAGUGUUUAGUUUAAAGCACGAUGUAAAGGAAUAGCUAGAGACAUCUUUCCAUCUUAAGGAGUAUAAUAUUAACACUGAGAUAUACAUUUAAACAGUGUCACUUAAAAAGAAGCAUUCCGAAGUCCAGAGUGAGAAAUCAGGAUGCCUCGGCUCCUUCCCUCUAAGAUAAUAACUUGUAAAACCUUCAGCAGAUCAUGUACUGUUUUUCAUCUGUGAAACUGUAGUGAUGCAUUACUUCCUGCCUCCAAUGAUUGUGACAAAUUAAUGUUAGCAUAUUUCUCUACUUCAGGCACAAUUUAUAACUGAAAAUAUCUUCAUUGUCAUUUCUUUGUGUUUCAUCAUAUACUCCACAUGGAACAUGUAGCAUCAGCUGAUGAUGUGCUUUACAUCACUGUAUCCUAGAGUGCAAAAGCGCUGAUCUGCAAGUGUUUCACAACAUGACACUGCUUUACACGUACUGUAGUAUUACACAAGCCUUGAGACUCACUAUGACUCUUAGUAGGUCCUUGACAUUCAGUUCCUGAAAACUAAUAUUCAAAACUGUAUAUAUAAAAACUACCCUUACAUUACAACAUCAACUCCAAAACACACUGCUUUUCAGCUGAAAGUGUGCUAACUAGAAAUGUCUUAGAAGUGACAGUUUUAAAUCACCUAAUGCUCUCAAGCAGAUCAAUGCAUUUAAUACCUCAUAGUUGUAAAAUGGCUGGUUAAUAACUCCUGCUAUUGCUUUGCCUCCAUAAGCAAUUCCAAUAAGAACUGUUACAUGGUCAAGGAGACCUGUACAGAAACGAUAAAAAUGUGGUUAUGCUUAAAAAAGAGAAACUAAAAAUAUUCAGAAAAUCCCUGAAUAUUUAAGCCUUCAACAAAAGUCCCCAAACCAAUAUGGAAGGUGUACAUGCAAAACAGAAGGUCUUAAAAUGCAAAUGCUAAUCACGAUUUUCAGAUUUAACAGGCAUAACACAUUGCUUGAUAUGCCUUUUUUUUUUUUUUUUUUAAGUCAGUCUUGGGCUCUCCAAAAAUAUGCCCUGGAUAGUUCAUAUUAGCAGAAUUCAAACUACAUUGUAAUUAACACAUAAUGAGAAUGAAAUUCAAAGAUACAACUACGUGGUAGUUUAUGGAUUACAUUCUUCUAAAUUUGGGGCCUGAACUCUUUAGUAGUACUCAAAAACAACUAAUUCAAUGGCAGUUGUACCAUUGUACCACCUCUCUUUCUCUGAAGUGGGGAAAAGAAAAAAAAACUUUGAUGCAAAGAUAUUGUGUUAAUCAACUAAAAGAUGCAACAGGAGGCUGAAGCAAGAUUUUGGUGUGUUGAUUUUUUCUGCAUAUUAGGGUCUAUCCUGUGGAUACAAAUUAGGCCCUGCUGAAAACAGUUUCCUUCCAUGACCAAAGAACUAUGAUUUUAGGGGAAGUUUUUGUUCUAUUUUAAAAGGGCUACAAAUACAGCUAUAGCAUUUAGGUAGUUUGAGACGGGGAUGUAAGUGUUUGCAUAUUCCCAUGCAAACAGAUUUAAUUCCCCAAUAAAGAGUGUAUGCAAAAUAGUAAAUUUAUUUUACUAAAAACUUUUGAAGACAUCCUGCUAACAGUCAAAGGCAGCAAAGGUUUCUCCUGUAGGAAAUGUCGAGGGCCCUCAGUUCCCUGAAACGAUAAAACUGGUGGGCACUCAGCAGCCCAUCAGGAAUAUUCAGUACUGGUGGUAACCAAAUGAAAUGAUUAAAAAAUUCCAUAGAACUUAAAGUACACAAGCAACACCAGCCUUAUAGAAAAUAUUGUAUGUAACUUCUGUCAUCUAAAGAACCAUUUAUGUGUACAUGCUACUUUAUUAAUCAGCAGAAUUAAAAGAGAAGCCAACCUUCAGUGUACUCUUUGGUCCCAUCCAGAGGAUCAACCCAUAUUACAAGCUUAAAAAAAAGGGGGGGAGGGGGGAGGAACAACAUGAACAAAUACAAGUCAUAUAAAUUAACAUGCAAAAUACAUUUUUUUAACGCUUGUAGGGAGGGGAACUUUACAAUAGUGAUGAUAUAAAGAAAAGACAUUCUAAUCUUUUACUAUUAUGAUAUACAAGACUGAAGUCUACUUUAAUAUUUUACACUAAAGAAAAAUGCACAAACUGAGUGGAACUUGUCAGCAAAUAUUUUAACAGAGAUAAAGGCUUAAAUUAAACAUGGAAAUGGCAUUACUUUCUCAA